GGAAGGAUCAUUAUUGAAAUAAACCUGAUGGGUUGCUGCUGGUUCUCUAGGGAGCAUGUGCACACUUGUCAUCUUUAUAUCUCCACCUGUGCACCUUUUGUAGACCUGGAUAUCUUUCUGAAUGCUAACAACAUUCAGGUUAGAGGAUUGACUUUACUGUCUUUCCUUAUAUUUCCAGGCCUAUGUUUCUUCAUAUACCCCAAUGUAUGUUUCAGAAUGUAAUAAAUAGGCCUUUGUGCCUUUAAUCUAUACAACUUUCAGCAACGGAUCUCUUGGCUCUCGCAUCGAUGAAGAACGCAGCGAAAUGCGAUAAGUAAUGUGAAUUGCAGAAUUCAGUGAAUCAUCGAAUCUUUGAACGCACCUUGCGCUCCUUGGUAUUCCGAGGAGCAUGCCUGUUUGAGUGUCAUUAAUAUAUCAACCUCUUCAGCUUUUGCUUGUUGAGUGUUGGAUGUGGGGGGUAUUUUUUGCUGGCCUCCCUUCUGAGGUCAGCUCCCCUGAAAUGUAUUAGCGGAACAAUUUGUUGACCGUUCAUUGGUGUGAUAACUAUCUACGCUAUUGACGCGAAGCAGUUCAGCUUCUAACAGUCCAUUGACUUGGACAAAUUUUCAUUAAUGUGACCUCAAAUCAGGUAGGACUACCCGCUGAACUUAAGCAUAUCAAUAAGCGGAGGAAAAGAAACUAACAAGGAUUCCCCUAGUAACUGCGAGUGAAGCGGGAAAAGCUCAAAUUUAAAAUCUGGCGGUCUUUGGCUGUCCGAGUUGUAAUCUAGAGAAGUGUUAUCCGCGCUGGACCGUGUACAAGUCUCCUGGAAUGGAGCGUCAUAGAGGGUGAGAAUCCCGUCUUUGACACGGACUGCCAGGGCUUUGUGAUGCGCUCUCAAAGAGUCGAGUUGUUUGGGAAUGCAGCUCAAAAUGGGUGGUAAAUUCCAUCUAAAGCUAAAUAUUGGCGAGAGACCGAUAGCGA
rnacentral:rRNA from 1 species